CUUAUGCCGGCGACCGGCGGACGGGUGCGUAACGCGUAUGUAACCUACCUUUGACAGGGGGAUAACAUCGAGAAAUUGGUACUAAUACCCCAUAACAUCACCGGGGGCAUCUUCGGUGGUUGAAAACUCAGGUGGUCAGAGAUGGACAUGCGUUGUAUUAGCUAGUUGGUNAGGUAACGGCUCACCAAGGCGACGAUACAUAGGGGGACUGAGAGGUCAACCCCCCCACAUUGGUACUGAGACACGGACCAAACUCCUACGGAAGGCAGCAG
rnacentral:rRNA from 1 species